rnacentral:tRNA from 1 species
GCCGGCUUAGCUCAAUUGGUAGAGCAACUGUAUCGUAAACAGUAGGUUAUCGGUUCAAGUCCGAUAGCUGGCU